rnacentral:rRNA from 1 species
GGCAGCAUGGUCUUAGCUUGCUAAGGCUGAUGGCGACCGGCGCACGGGUGAGUAACACGUAUCCAACCUGCCGUCUACUCUUGGCCAGCCUUCUGAAAGGAAGAUUAAUCCAGGAUGGCAUCAUGAGUUCACAUGUCCGCAUGAUUAAAGGUAUUUUCCGGUAGACGAUGGGGAUGCGUUCCAUUAGAUAGUAGGCGGGGUAACGGCCCACCUAGUCAACGAUGGAUAGGGGUUCUGAGAGGAAGGUCCCCCACAUUGGAACUGAGACACGGUCCAAACUCCUGCGGGAGGCAGCAGUGAGGAAUAUUGGUCAAUGGGCGAUGGCCUGAACCAGCCAAGUAGCGUGAAGGAUGACUGCCCUAUGGGUUGUAAACUUCUUUUAUAAAGGAAUAAAGUCGGGUAUGCAUACCCGUUUGCAUGUACUUUAUGAAUAAGGAUCGGCUAACUCCGUGCCAGCAGCCGCGGUAAUACGGAGGAUCCGAGCGUUAUCCGGAUUUAUUGGGUUUAAAGGGAGCGUAGAUGGAUGUUUAAGUCAGUUGUGAAAGUUUGCGGCUCAACCGUAAAAUUGCAGUUGAUACUGGAUGUCUUGAGUGCAGUUGAGGCAGGCGGAAUUCGUGGUGUAGCGGUGAAAUGCUUAGAUAUCACGAAGAACUCCGAUUGCGA